CACGUAGGGUGCGAGCGUUGUCCGGAAUUAUUGGGCGUAAAGAGCUCGUAGGCGGUGUGUCACGUCGGCCGUGAAAACCUGCAGCUUAACUGUGGGCGUGCGGUCGAUACGGGCAUCACUGGAGUUCGGCAGGGAGACUGGAAUUCCUGGUGUAGCGGUGAAAUGCGCAGAUAUCAGGAGGAACACCGGUGGCGAAGGCGGGUCUCUGGGCCGAUACUGACGCUGAGGAGCGAAAGCGUGGGGAGCAAACAGG
rnacentral:rRNA from 1 species